CACUUCCCUAAAUUGGUGGCGACGGCCAAUGCGGCAACGGCGCCCAUGCAUGAAUCAAUUUGUGUUGUCUUUUGUGAUUAUUAGCAGAGGUCUAAUCAUGUAUCUUCUAUUCAUCUUAUGCAUGUACUACUCGCCUGAAUCGAGCAUGUGUACAUGGAGACACCGGACGAACAUGCAAAAGCAACUUCAUCGUGGCAUUCUUCCACGGAAGAGGAAACCAUCAGCCGGCCUUGACCACGAGCAAUUCGACUGAGCCAGAAAAUUGAGGGCUCAGAAUCGAAUCAACGUCGGAAGAAGGAGAAUAACAAGCAGCGAAUGGCGUCCCCGGUACAGUCGACGGACGAUGAUGGACCACUGGCGACUCCUCUGCACAAUAAGGUUAGCCCAAACCCAGCGUCGCUACGGCGAACUGCGGCACCAUCUUCAUCCUCGCUCCCCGCAGUGGUGGCCGUUGAGGCUGCCCUCCCAUCUCCACCACAGUCACCAUCGGGGACACCAACGAUGCGACCUCUUCCCCAGAAACGGCGGUGGUGGCCGACCCCGCGCGAACCUCCGCAACGCUUGCGUUCGCGCUUGCCUCCCCGUUGGCCAUGCCCGCGGCAGCGCAUGGCUUGCAUCCUUGCGGUGCGCCAGCACCCACGACCGCGGUCUUCCCGCGUGGCGUCGCUCCCUGCGGCGCGCUUGGUCUUCCGACCUGCGACUCGGUGACGCGGUGACGCCCUCCCCCGGCUCGCAGCGGAGCCCACAGUGGCUCCUUGGCGCGGAGCCUCAACUACGUCUUGGCGACGUCCCACAGAGCAGGGGCAGCAGCCAAUGGCUACCCGUGCAACGGCCACUCCCGCGGCGACGCCUCCCGGCGACCGCUCACAUACGCGUGGAUGAGGCAGCCCGAGACCACAGCCCUCACGAGGCUUGGCGGCGGCGCCUGAAGCAAGGCCGGCGGCGAGCCACGGCAUGGACUCCAGCGGCGGUUACUACCGUGAGUAACCGCUCGGGAGAGAAAGAAGAUGGAGGAGGAUAAGGAACCUUAUCCUUCGCUAUUUUACACUAAAAUCCCUCUAUUCGCAGGGAUUGGCAAAGCAGCCAGAAACAGUGUUCAGGUCAAUUUUGCCAAGAAUCCCCUUCUUUCCUGGGGUUUGCAAAUUGAUCCUGUUAACAAUAUACUAUUUACUAGUAUUUUCUGUCUCAGACGCUGUUAAUUAAUUUCUGUAGAGUACCUUGUAUUCCAGAACUUAUAUGUGAUGUAAUACAUUUCCAUGUUUAUCACGUGUUGAGAUUAAUUACAUCUAUUAUUUGCAAUUGAGAUUUUUCUUUUAUCUCUUGCAAAAAUAAAUUCAGUACCUCUACCUAAUUUGCGAUUGAGAAUUUUUUUUCUCGCAAAACAAUAUCAUUGUGAUUGAGAUUAAUUUUUUCUCGCAAAAUACUAAUUC
rnacentral:rRNA from 1 species